GGGCGCUUAGCUCAGUUGGCAGAGCGCUUGCUUUACACGCAAGAUGUCAGGGGUUCAAGUCCCUUAGCGCCCACCA
rnacentral:tRNA from 1 species